GCUGUGGCUCAGUAGAAGAGCCUCUGCUUUACAUGCAGAAGGUCCUAGGUUCAAUCACCAUCCUAGGUUCAAUCA
rnacentral:tRNA from 1 species